rnacentral:rRNA from 1 species
UACAGAGGUGGCAAGCGUUGUUCGGAUUCACUGGGCGUAAAGGGUGCGCAGGCGGCCAAGUGUGUGAGGCGUGAAAGCCCGGGGCUUAACCCCGGAAUUGCACCUCAAACUACAUGGCUAGAGCAUUGGAGAGGGUAGCAGAAUUCAUGGUGUAGCAGUGAAAUGCGUAGAUAUCAUGAGGAAUACCAGAGGCGAAGGCGGCUACCUGGACAAUUGCUGACGCUCAGGCACGAAAGCGUGGGGAGCAAACAGG